CAGAGUUUCACCAUGUUGGCCUGGCUGGUCUCGAACUCCUUCUAACCAUCUAUCAAACCACCUCAGUCCCACUCCAGACCACAGAACAACUGAAUCAGAAGCUCUACAGUGGGACAAUGAUCUGUGGUUUAACAAACCCUCCAGACACAGCCAUGUGGAGCAGAAGUCAUGAAACCAAAAGAACGCAGAAACUUUUCUAAGACAUCUUGUGGAAUGAGGAUGGGGAGCUCUCAACAUAUCACCUCUGGUUUUUGUUAUUCAAGAAAUGUGAACUACACUUCUUGCAGCAUGUGGUUGGAUCUCCAGUAUGACAGGCUAAAGAGAAAAAAGAUAUGUGUAACUGGUUUGUAAACUAUACAGAAUUAUAUAAAUGUAAAGCGCUAUUAUAACUUUUUUCUUUUUAUACUAGUUAUGAUGUAGUUAGAAGCCUGAUCUGAUUCUAGAAUAAUCUGAAAGAUGCACAUCGAAUGAAGGGUCUUAGCAGCAUUUCUAAUAUAUUAGAGUUCUUAGGAGCUGUGGACUCUGUUGAAAGUUGAAUAUUUAAG
rnacentral:lncRNA from 1 species